GUCCGCUAACGAGCGCAACCCUCGCUGUGUGUUAUAUGUGUCACACAGGACUGCUGGUAUUAAGCCGGAGGAAGUGGGGACGACGUCAAGUCAGCAUGACCUUUAUAUCCAGGGCUACACACACGCUACAAUGGUCAGUACAAUGGGUUGCCAAGCCGCGAGGCGGAGCCAAUCCUAAAAAGCUGGCCUCAGUUCGGAUUGCAGGCUGCAAUUCGCCUGCAUGAAGUCGGAAUCGCUAGUAAUCGCAGGUCAGCAUACUGCGGUGAAUACGUUCCCGGGCCUU
rnacentral:rRNA from 1 species